rnacentral:misc_RNA from 1 species
CGAAAUUUGAAUGGUUUGCAGUUUGAAAAAAUUCUUCGUUGAGGAUAGAUCGCUAUUUUUUAGGAGUAAAGCAAAUUCGAACGAGUUCAACGAAUAUUUCUUGUGCUUGACAGACACAAAACAAAUCGAUCAAAAUGUUCAAAAACCAUUUGGAAAUGAUUGGGCGCAAUGAGAGCCCCAGCAAGAAGGCCAAAUUCUGGCAAUCCUACAUCAGAUCCCUGAAGGGCUCCGAGGAUAUUCGUGCCCAUGAAGCGCCAAGAGCAUCUCGCCCAUACAGCUCGUACCUGGAUUCGCCCACAUACAGGAGCAUCUACGAUGAGCCCGCAACGGCCAACGAGCGCGUUCAGUCAUCUGGCUACAGAUACUUGCCAGUGAGCCGCGACACCUACGGCUACUCGCCACGUGCCAUCUACGAUCAUCAUUACAGCAGAACAAAGAAGGCAUGGAAUGAUCAUUUGAAGCGCAUGCAAGAAAUCGAGCGCAGAUACCCAUCUCGCUAUGGUCUCUAUUUGAGAGACAAGCCACUCACACCAAACUCUUUGGUGCCUUUGGAAUACGAGCCAGAGGAUAAGCUGUUGGCUGAACUCAACAAGGCACGCCGCUCGGCCUCGCCGUUCCGUCCCAGCCGCACGAGCCGGGCUGGCAGCGAGCCCUACGUGCCUCCGCCAGUCUACUGGAACCGUGAGAGCAGCGUGCCACGUGGUGGACCAUCGGUGUUCGAUCGGGCCACCAGCUUGGCUCCGUUCACGCGGCCAAGCUUCCGUGCCAGCUCGCUGGAGCCGUUGGAUGAACUCUUUGAAAGACUUCCAAUCUUCCAUCCACGCAACCGCUUCAGGGAUAUGCUGAGCCCCAGCCCCAAGCUGCCGAUCUCGUCGAUUGUGCGCGAUCCCUUCUGGUGGGAUGUGGAUGAUCUGGUGCCCUUCCGUGCCACCUCGGUGCCCCGCGCGUCGAGCCCCGUGGCCCGUGAUUCGUAUUUGUCGCCGGUGAAGAAUCGCUAUCUAUGGUCGAGACACCCAGCUAGACCCCUGACACCUGAGGCAGAGGAUAUUUUCUAAAACAUAAAAAUGAAACAUAAACAUCAAAAUAAAGCCAAAUCACAACUCAAAAUCGUUAGCUCUAAUAACAACCGAUGCUAUAUCACAUAGCACUUCUGUAAUUUUUUUGUACUUUAAUUUACAUAAAUUACAUGUAACGAAAUGCAAUACAAACAAAUUGCUCACCGCUCAAUUUUGUAAACGAACGAAAACGAACUAUGAAACAACAACAACAACUACACUUACAACAACAACAACAACAACGAAUGCAUCAAUGGGGUCCCCAAUAACCAACAACGACUAGCUUUUUGGUUUCCAAGUCAAGAACCGGAAAUCAGUGAAAGUAGCAAAAUAUAUCUAUAUAAAGACUAUAUAUAUAGCCUUUGAGUCCUCAACAACGAUUGAAUUUUUUCAAAACUGCCAGCCCCAGAAGAUCCGGGUGCUGCCUCCACUUUAAUAAUUGCCAUCAAGUGCUUACUUCCCGUAGUAAAUAUAAUAGCAAACAUAAUAUUUAUAUAAUAAAAGAAGGAGAAGAAUCCAAAGGGAAACCUUUUUAACAACAA